CUGUGAGAUUACAUAUGCAUAUAGUGUUAAUGUUAUAAGAGUGUAGUAUCUACUCACAAAGUUAUCAGGUUAAAUAGCUUUAUCAACUAAUAAAAAUGUUAUUGCAUAACUAAUGUUAUACUGUAGUCCUGCAACGAUAUCCAGCGAAAAUUAUUUUGCUGAGUAUCGUAGUAAAAGUUAAGAUAUGAUGUUGAGAAUUUUUUUGAGUCGUGCAACAACAUUAACAGUAGACUAUAAUACAAAUCUAUCUUUUUAAAAGUUUGUAU
rnacentral:misc_RNA from 1 species